rnacentral:misc_RNA from 1 species
GAGAAGAACGUAGCGAAAUGCGAUAAGUAGUGUGAAUUGCAGAAUUCAGUGAAUCAUCGAAUCUUUGAACGCACAUUGCGCCCCUUGGUAUUCCAUGGGGCAUGCCUGUUCGAGCGUCAUUUGUACCUUCAAGCUUUGCUUGGUGUUGGGUGUUUGUCCAUUCUCUUGCAGAGGGACUCGCCUUAAAGUAAUUGGCAGCCAGUGUUUUGGUUUUGAAGCGCAGCACAAGUCGCGAUUCAACGCUAUACGCCAGCUUCCACAAGCCUUUUUCACUUUUGACCUCGGAUCAGGUAGGGAUACCCGCUGAACUUAAGCAUAUCAAUAAGCGGAGGA